GGGCAAUAUGAUGAUGAAAUAACCCAAAAUAAGUCUGCAUUCGAAUGAUGAAUCUUUAACAUGCACUACCAUCUGAUUCCCC